GCCGCCGUCACGUUCUUGUCAUUCGGCACCACGGGGAGCACGGAGACGCGGAAGUGGGAGGUGGCGGCCUUCCUCGAGCAGACCUACCACGAGACCAUUGGCGGGUGGCCCGUGGUGCCCGACGGACCGUACGCCUGGGGCUACUACUUCAAGCAAGAGCAGGGCUCGCCGGGAAGCUACUGCGACCCAAAGCCAGAGUGGCCGUGCGCGUCGGGCAAGAAAUACUACUACGGUCACGGACCCAUCCAGCUCUCAUGGAACUAGAACUGUGGCCCCGCGGGGCUUGCCAUCGGGGUGGACCUGUUCAACAACCCAGACCUUGUAGCCAUAGAUGCAACGGUGUUGUUUAAGACGGCAUUGUGGUUUUGAAUGAAGGCUCAAGCGAAUAAGCCGUCGUCCCAUGAUAUGAUCACAGGCCAAUGAACCCCAUCGGGAACGAACAACGCCGCCAGCCAUGUGCCUGGGUACGGCGUCAUGACCAACAUCAUCAACGGCGGGCUCGAGUGCGGUAGGGGGCAGGAUGACCGUGUUGCUAACCGAAUCGGGUUCUACAAGCGCUACUGCGAUGUCCUCGGUGUUGGCUACGGUAACAACCUCGACUGCUACAACCAGAGGCCCUUCAACAGUGGGCUCACGGUGGGGCCUGCGUCACGGUGGUCCUCCAUGAAUGAAUGUAUGAAUGUGAUCACAGAUGAAUAA
rnacentral:rRNA from 1 species